CCCAAGACUAAACUUGGAUUCAAGACGAAGAACAGAUAUUGGUGUCUUUGUUGAACUUGUAUUUUCCUUAUUAUUUCAAUACCAUUAUCUAUCUCAAUUACCAUGUGUCGGUCAAAAAAAAUUAUUACAACCUUCAAUAACGCAAAAAACAAUAAAUGCAAAAUUUAGCAACGUAAAAUUUCAUCCAAUUGAGGACCCCAAGACUAAACUUGGAUUCAAGACGAAGAACAGAUAUUGGUGUCCUUGUUGAACUUGUAUUUUCCUUAUUAUUUCAAUACCAAAAACUAUCUCAAUUACCAUUUGCCGGUCUUAAGACUAAUGUUUCGAUUCAGAAUGAAGAAUAGGUAUUGGUGUCUUUGUUGAACUUGUAUUUUCCUUAUUAUUUCAAUACCAAAAUCUAUCUCAAUUACCAUUUGCCGGUCUUAAGACUAAUGUUUCGAUUCAGAAUGAAGAAUAGGUAUUGGUGUCUUUGUUGAACUUGUAUUUUCCUUAUUAUUUCAAUACCAUUAUCUAUCUCAAUUACCAUGUGUCGGUCAAAAAAAAUUAAUACAACCUUCAAUAACGCAAAAAACAAUAAAUGCAAAAUUUAGCAACGUAAAAUUUCAUCCAAUUGAGGACCCCAAGACUAAACUUGGAUUCAAGACGAAGAACAGAUAUUGGUGUCCUUGUUGAACUUGUAUUUUCCUUAUUAUUUCAAUACCAUUAUCUAUCUCAAUUACCAUGUGUCGGUCAAAAAAAAUUAAUACAACCUUCAAUAACGCAAAAAACAAUAAAUGCAAAAUUUAGCAACGUAAAAUUUCAUCCAAUUGAGGACCCCAAGACUAAACUUGGAUUCAAGACGAAGAACAGAUAUUGGUGUCCUUGUUGAACUUGUAUUUUCCUUAUUAUUUCAAUACCAUUAUCUAUCUCAAUUACCAUGUGUCGGUCAAAAAAAAUUAAUACAACCUUCAGUAACGCAAAAAACAAUAAAUGCAAAAUUUAGCAACGUAAAAUUUCAUCCAAUUGAGGACCCCAAGACUAAACUUGGAUUCAAGACGAAGAACAGAUAUUGGUGUCCUUGUUGAACUUGUAUUUUCCUUAUUAUUUCAAUACCAAAA